rnacentral:lncRNA from 1 species
AAAGACAAGACUUUCUUGAGCACGAGGUCACCUUCUCGGAACACGCGAGGCAUGACCUUCUUAUCAAAUGCUUUCUUCAUUCUCUGCUGAUACAAUUGACCAUGGCACAUGGCAGUCAAUCGCUUCUCUUCAAUCAGAUUCAAUUGGUCAUAACGACUCUGAAUCCAUUCAGCAUCAGUCAACUAUGGACUUGAGGGUAUAAUUUUU